rnacentral:tRNA from 1 species
AUUUAUAUAGUUUAUUUAAAACAUUAUAUUUUCAUUAUAAAGAUAAUUAUUUUUAUUUAUAAAUU